rnacentral:rRNA from 1 species
AUUGAACGCUGGCGGCAUGCUUUACACAUGCAAGUCGAACGGUAACAGGCCGCAAGGUGCUGACGAGUGGCGAACGGGUGAGUAAUGCAUCGGAACGUGCCCAGUCGUGGGGGAUAACUACUCGAAAGAGUAGCUAAUACCGCAUACGAUCUAUGGAUGAAAGCGGGGGACCGUAAGGCCUCGCGCGAUUGGAGCGGCCGAUGUCAGAUUAGGUAGUUGGUGGGGUAAAGGCUCACCAAGCCAACGAUCUGUAGCUGGUCUGAGAGGACGACCAGCCACACUAGGACGGAGACACGGCCCAGACUCCUACGGGAGGCAGCAGUGGGGAAUUUUGGACAAUGGGCGCAAGCCUGAUCCAGCAAUGCCGCGUGCAGGAAGAAGGCCUUCGGGUUGUAAACUGCUUUGUACGGAACGAAACGGCUCUGGUUAAUACCCGGGGCUAAUGACGGUACCGUAAGAAUAAGCACCGGCUAACUACGUG